CACUUGCUGACUGAGCUGAAAAGGGACUCCCCACUGAGCAGGCUCACCAGUGUCCCAACAGCUGGGCAGAUCAUGGGGAUGGGGAAUUCUGAGCAGACCCUCUUCAGAAAUUGAGUCUCAUGGGGCCUUGGGGAACUUGGUCAGCAGACGGCAAGACUUCAUCUGUCAGUGGGCAGGUCAGCUCAGCAGGACUCCUGUCUUUGGAACUAAGAUUCAAGUCUCUACUCUGUACCAAGACAGAGUUGGAGGCUAGGAAACAAGACACACAACCAUUUUCCAUCAUCGAGGGGCAAGGCAGGGCUUGGCAUGAGGCAGAACCGGGCUCCAUCAAUGCCACAUGUCAGGAGGAACCCCUUUUCUGUUUCAAUCCCUCCUGCCCAUUUGUGGGAGGCAUUAGAGAGGCCUAACAGUUUUUUUUUCUCCACGGCCUGAGGACGUGAUAGGAUUUCAUUCCCGCCCCACCUUGUGGUUGGAUGGAAUCAUGCGCCCAAUUGUGGUCAAGACCAAGAAACUGAGAAACAAAGCAAAUCCGUGGGAUGCAGAGGGUACGCUGAUGACUUCUGCUGGGGAGAGAAGCCCAAACACACGUCCUGGGCAGAGCCCAGAGACCUGGAGUGUGGCUGCCAGUGAGCACCCGGCUGAGGGACAAGCAGGUGGGCCUCAGUGGUGGCUGCCAGGUCCCUGGACGCCGGGGGCCACCGGCCUUGCCUCUCCUCUGCCUCGGAAGCACCGGAGGCUUUGGGGAUCUGGUGGUCCUCCGGCCCUGAACGUGGACCUGGUGUGACAAAGGGAAGUUUGCCAUCUCCAUCCUCCUCAAGCUGCCUAUGCACCCCAGUAGCACUCACCCUCUCUGUGCUCCCGUCUGCACCGCCUGUCCUGGGGUCCUUCUUUGUGCUGCACCCAAUGACAGGAACCAGUGCCCUGACUGUGACUUGCUUCCCCCCUCAGGGACACACAAGCACUUUCACAUCGAGGCUACUUUUCACCCCUUCUGCCUCCUGCAGGUACGCUGCAUGCAGAGGCAGGAGGACAGAGGGGCUGGUCUCAGGUGUGGCUUCUCUCACACCUGGCGC
rnacentral:lncRNA from 1 species